rnacentral:lncRNA from 1 species
ACAUUUUGCCAUAUUAGAAUUAGAGAUAUAUCUGUCCACUUUAAAAGUGGCAUAAGUCACUUGCUGUGUGAUGUUUUAGUUUAAAGUAAACCACAACUAAGAAAACUUCCUUCACAUGCCAGAAGUCAGACUUCUGUUUCAUCAGGGAAUUAUCUAAGCAUCUUUCACUACCAAGGUGUUCAGUAAAUGAACAGUGCAAGUGAUGCUUUUUUCAUGUUUUCUCUCUUAUCCUUGCUGCUCUGGGAAAGUUAUUUACUUAUAUAAGUGGUUUUGAAUGGACUUGUGUUUUUUUGUUUGUUUGGUUGGUUUUUGUUUUGUUUUGUUUUGUUUUGUUUUGUUUUGUUUUGCUUUGUUUUGUUUUUAACUGCCUUUCUGAAUUUGCAAUUAGCUGAUUUAUUCUUUCUUUCUAGUUGCAGAAGGGGAGGAUGUUAAUUUAAUCAUUUCUCAUUCACCUUUGGAUGUCUGGCUCAGCCUAAAAUAUCUUCAAUUAUGCAUGGUUUGUCAAAGGAUUUCUGUCAUCACUGAGCUUUUGGCCCUCUACCUUCAGUGCAGUUUUAGGCACCAACAACAACCUCAGCUGCAACUACUGACAAAGACAGUGGGAGGUGAGGGAAUAUCAGACUGCUGCACAGAUUUCCUGGGUAAACAUAAGCGCUACUUAAGCACCAAAAUUGUGAAUAGAUGGCUCAUGGCUGAAGCAUUCAGGAUUCAGUUUUCCCAGCAGGAAGAUCUGAGAACAGUGAAGAAAGCUUGUCUAUGA